rnacentral:sRNA from 1 species
UGUAAACUUGAGGUAUGCAUAAUGAUA